CUAGUAGUUCUGGCCGCUUCUGUAUGUAGCGCACCUUUUAUCGCUGUGUUUGGACCAGAGGCACUUCCUAGCAUCCAAGACUUUUGGCACCCUGACUCUUCUCUUGAUUUAGUUGUAGAGGGUUUAGGCAGUGAGUGUUCAGCAGUAGUCUCACAGCUCUUUUAAAGAGCUGUAAAAGGAUCCUGGUAAAGUGCAGGAGCGAAACUAUCAGCUUGAUCUGUGCCUCCGUUCUCGAGGUGACAAAGCUGGUUAUGGGAAGGGCGUGCAAGGAAAGGGGCAAGGUCGUAGCUCAGUCACUGACAGCAAAUGGCAUACAUCUCUGAAUGAGCUCUAGUUGGAAGUAAAUCUGUGCACGUUUACUUCUGGUAAAAGGCUGAAUAACAGUGGAAAUCUAGAGUGGAGCUUUGCUCCGUGGACGUAGUUGUGUUUUGUUGUUGUUUUUCCCCAUGUGGGAAGGCUGAAAGCUUAGCUAAUUUCUUUUAUAAGGUCCUGUUGCAAUCACUAGCCAUCUAAAGCUGGAGAGUCAUCAAAAAGAGACCUUGAAAAUGACAGCUGAGGGCUGAAAAAAACACGCACCUAAGAGAAGAGGGACCCGUGCUCAUCGCUUCAUACAGUGGUCAAGGCUUAUACCGGAUUCAUUGGAGACAUCUGGAAGUUACGCUGCUAACAUUAGCAUGUGGUGGAACAAAACAGUAAUUUCUCAAGGUUGGUCUGUGAGAUAAUUUUGUGAAAUCUGGAGGACUUAGAAAUAACUGAGCCUAAAACCUGGACCUGAUCCAGCCUCAGUCCUACCAGUUUGUGGUCCUUGCAGCUGCAGGUCCCCAGUACGGCAGUCUCCCUGCCUGCAGAGCCCUGACACGUGCAUUCAGCUGUCACCCGACGUGAUUGUACGCAGGGACGUGGCACCAGUGUCCUGAGCAAUUCGGUAGGGUAGGUCAUCAAAUCAGUUCUUUUUUCUUUUAAAAGAAAGAAUUGCUCACAGCUUUGGUUUGUACUAGUAAUUGAUGUAAAGACCUCUCUGGCUCUCAUAAUUAAUGUUAAGGGCCUUAUCGGUAUUUGCCAUGUAAUUAAAGCGAAUUGCAUGUUGGAGAAGUAAUGAGGAACAAUAGGCUCUAGCAGAACUGUAAUUAAAAACAAAACCUCACAGAGAAAGUGGCAGCUUUCAGGGAAAGGUUUUAUUGAUACUUCUAGUUGGAAGAAAUAAUAAUGUUUGCAUACAGAGUGCAUUAAAAUUAAUAAUUGUAUAGGAUGAUUUGAUAAUAGUCAAUAUGCUGGGUGUAUUUACUCAUAUGAAUGUUGAAUUUCUGGAGUGUAAAAACAAUACUCAGAAAAACUCUCCUAAUUCGUGUAAAUGCAGCUGUAUAGUCUGUCCAGCCCUUAAUACAAAGCUGCCUUUUGUGAUGGUUUUUGGCUUUUCCACACGAAACAUUUUAUGGCAGUGAGUUGAAGCAGCUUUACCUUUCAUGAAAGCGAAGACUUUGGGCUUGACAAAAGGAAGGGCCUUUAAGGCAAGGCUUCUUGUGAUUCACAGGGGGAAGUGGAAAUCAGUUUCUAAAAUUAAACUGAACUUUCACUUUGCUUUUUUUCCCCUCCUUUCUCGCAGUGAAUGUGUUACAUGUGUUAUGGUCUUCUGUAGCUCCGGACGAGCAAAGAGACUCUGCUUGAGACUUGUCGUAGCAGGACUGGGCAACCCUGCUCUCUGCUUGGAUUUUUGAAGUCAUGAAGGACAAGUUACUUACGUCAUCUUGAAUCUGAUCUACUCUAUUUACCCAUUCCCUCUUGGAAAGGAAGGGUGAGAGUUUCCUGCAGUCCGAGGUGGACAAAUAAGGCAGGGUUGUGUUACAUGCUGGAGUUACGAGAGUUAUUUGGGGAUGGCUGAGUUGGUCAACAGCUGCAGCCCUCUGCUAUCGUGUGAAUGGCUUGCCUUUUGCCACACUGCUUCUUUUAAUGAGUUCCAUCUGUACGUGGGGCAGUCCAUAAUGGAAAGCAGAUUGGUGAUCUGAUGGUGUCCACAGUGCGCUUGGGGUGCUGUGGUUUGCUCGGUCUGCUGGGCUGCAGAUGAAGGCUGAAUACCAAAAUGAGGUGGAUACCUGCUUUUCAUUUAGUGCACAAUUAGUUGGCAAAAUGUUGAAAUUUUGCCUGAAAGGCCAAGAGGUUGCAGGCUGAGGGGGAGAGCGAGGCGCUGAUUGCUUGCAGAGGAGCCAAGGUUUUCUGAAAAAAAGCAGCUCAUGAUCUGUGAAAGUUACGUUAUAGUUAAUUCUUUUUUUUUUUUCCUUCCAAAAGUCAUGAUGAUAGUGGUUUAUCAUCUGGCAUUGCCCUGCUAUCCGGCUUUUCCUCUGGAAAAAGCAGAUACUCAGACAGUGCAUUGUUGCAGAACCAUGAUGGUGAACCCUUAAAGGACAGGACAAAACUAACAUGACCAAGGGAACACAGCAUGGGUUCAUUCUGACGCUACCUCCAACAAAAGUCAAAGUACUUUUCUGAAUCAGAACAGAAAAUAGAAAAAAUAUUCACUUGUAGAUUAGAGUUAACAUUAGUUCAGUCUUAUUAACUGUUUUUGUUUGUUGUUUUUUUUUUAGCUGCAGCUUAUUCAGGUAAAAUUGCUUCUUAAUGAGUGUACAUAUAUGAAGUAUGGCAUUCAAAGCCACAGUUGGUUUACCAGGAAUGUAUGGUGCAGCAUAUUUUCCUUUUCCUCUGCUAUAGCUUGAAUAUAAAUCCUUAAAGAGCUAAAGAGCUUACCAUACCAAAAGUAAGGCUGUGUAAAUAUCUGAGCACAUGGAAAAAUAAUUUUCCUCUUACUACCACAUUGGAAUUUAGAAGAAUUACUCAAUUUUAGCUGCUCAGUUGGAACCGCUUAAAUUAGUAAUGAUUCUGUGAACGUGAACAUCCAGAUUUUAGGCAGAUUUCUGGAAAUGAGAGAGGCAGUGCUGGCACAUGUACUGAGAUGACCAUUACCAAGUAGGAUUUCAGAGGAAAUCUUUUCUGGCAGCUUGCACUUUCAACAGCUGACACUUUUCAGCCCAAAGUGAAUGCUGAAUUAGGUAACUCCACAUCGGUCUUUUGCUACUUGUAUUCCACUCACUUCUCCUUAGACUGCAGAUUUGACGUAGAGGAUACUUGAAUACAGCUGUCUGAAUGCAGAAAUGAGUUACCUUAGCACCUGCAAUAAACUUAAAUGAUACCGUGGAAGGGAAUGAAGGCCUUAGACAAUUGUUAGUGGGAUCUUGAGCUGCCAGAUCUGUAUCGGUACCCAGGCAGAUGCUGUUGCAGUUGGAUGCUUGCAGCAAUGCUUAGGACUGAGCAGAUGCAGAAAAGAAACCUGACUGUCAACCUUGGGAUAGGUUCUUGAAGCUGCUGGGGAUUUCUCGGUGAGAGGAGUUCAGGCUCCCUCUCUUUGUGGCUUUGUACAGAUCUCAAGAUCGUGGCCUUUUGCUCGCGCUGGAAUAAUCUCGGUCUGAGGGGCAGGCUUGUGAGCAGGCUGUUGGUUAGUGUUCUUCCUCGUAGUGGAAGGGUAAUCACCACCUACCUACUCACCACAAACCCCGUGUAAGUGAGGGAGGGAGAGUAUUUUUACAACUUCCUCUGAAUGACCUUAUCAAGAAGAUGAUGCUGAAAUUCUGGGCCAUAAGGCUGUCUUGGUCCUGUCCCUCUGGCGUUUAUUCAGUUUAAUUUAGGGUUAAAUGUGAGUUAUUUAAUGUUUUAUUCAUUAAAAUACAGGACGUUCAUUUGCAGAUUUUUAAGCACAAAAAAAAAAAAACUAUGGUUGAUAUGCUUGACUAAGUCUGAGAUUCCUUUUUCUGCACUAUGGAAACACUUGUGUGUCGUUGUACCUGUAGUCAUUAUGCCUGUAUUUCUGUCUUGGUUGCAUGAGGGAAUGGAAAACACCCAAAACAGUCACACAGUUUUUGGGGAACUGAUAGAAUUGCAGUGUCUUCCUAGUUCUGUCUAUCAUCAAUUAAAUUAACCUCAACUUGUUCCUUACAGUUUACACUUUUGAUUGGUAUUUUACCCGUUAGCAACUCUUGAAUUUCAAGAUGGGGUUCAUACCUCAUUUUCUAAGUUAACAAAUAAGUCAUCAAGAUGAACUAAUUGGUUUAUUUCUGAACUAGAUGGCUACUUGCUUCCCUUCCACCUCCACCUAGGGAUGUGAUAGCUGAGGAGAGGGUGUUGCAGUUGUCCCUGAAAGGGUAAGCAGAGUGGUGCAGACCAGAGGAGGAAGCACUGAGAAUAACUGCGGGCUAACUGCUGGAGAUGACUUAUCUUCUGUAGCUUCCACAGGUCUGCACAAGUCCAGAACCAGCCAAACUGCUGAAGCUGGUGAGGCCUGUGGCGUUGGAGAGCCCAUCUGCAGAAGGAGUCGGGGAGAUGAGCUGAAAAAUGCUUUCAGACCCUCGUGUUCAGUUGAACUGUGUUCCCUAGUAUGCAAGAGCCUUAUUUCUGUGCAAAGGAAGUGAAAUUUAGGCAGGUGCUGUUUUUUCUAGUGGAAGCAAGAAUAUAUUGCUGUGCUUCUGAGAAGCUUUUUACAGCAUAAAUGCUCUUGUGGCUUCCAGCCCUGAAGUUGAGAAUAAAACCACUCUUUCAGGUGAAAUCAAGCGCUCAUGAAGAAUUUAGGCGGUAUAGAUUUUCCUUUGUAGGGCUGAACUGCUGCUGCUGCUCCCAGAGUUACAGAUCUUAUCUUCUGCUUAAGCAGGGUGAGAGAAGGACUUACUUUAGCAUGUUAGUUGCUUUUGUGAGCCACUUGUUCUUCUGUUUGGACUAUUAAAUACUCAGGUAUGUGAGCAAACUGAGUGUCAGUUACAAAUAUAAAAAAAAUAAUUAAUAACCAAAACAUUAUUAGACUCUGCUUAACUAUUGGUAUAGCGGGCAUUUUCUUUAAAUGUAUUUUUUAAAAACAAAUUUUAACGUAGACUGUUGUUGAUGUUAGUUUAAACUUAAACUUGGAAAAAUGAAGGCACUGCCCUUCUUAAAAUAUAGUGUUCUAUAAAUAUCUCUGUGUUGAUAGAGCUUAAUAACCACUUCCUUCAGACCACUUUGUCCAUAGAUUUUCUGGAGCAGCAUGAGCUUUUGAAAGCCUAUUGACUCGUGGGGAAUUGGAAGUCAAAAGGGUCAGAUCCUUAAAAAUCUUUUCUUGACCUACUAGGUCUGCCAAAACCACCUCUGACAUGCCCCUAUCCCUGCAGUUGUCUACAUUCCUUCUUGCUUCAUGCAGUUAAGGCUCAGCUUGGAGACCUUAGAGGGGAAGCUCAGGCUGUGCCCCCCUCUCCAGCAUGGCUUCAACCCAUCAGGGCUCACCGAAGCAAAACACCCCACUCCUUCCUUUCAGUAACCAAGGGUUUAACAGUGAGACUAUUGUACGGGUCCUGUGUUCUCUGAAUGUUUUAGAUAAAUGACUCUUGAAGGUUUGUGUCCGUGAGAUUGAAAAUCUAGGUAUAGGUAUUAAAGGGUAUAGGAAUUAAAAGCAACUUUCAUCGCUUCUGGUCUGAGCAUUCACUGGUGACAGUGGUAAUGAGAAGAGAAUCAGUCUGUACAUUUUAAACAAAAAUAAAGAUUUCUUAAGCUUCUUGUAUUUAACUGUGUUUUGUCUUCUCUUUGAAACAGUUUCUUAGAAAGCCCAGUAAUGUGUGGAUGGACCAUUGCCUGGAGAGCUGGGACUGAGGGUGUCUGAGAGGUGCAAGCAGUAUACAGAAAUACCAUUGCACAAAUCAGCUGGGUUGUCAUGGGGAAACUUCACAGCAGGAACGUGAUGAAAAGAUGGCCAUUUGUUUUUUCUUGCUGAGAUACUGCAGGGGAACGAACAGCAAUCGUUUCCUUACCAACCUACAGGAUAGCUCGUGGAUGAGGCAGGAGCGGUGUGCAGCCUUCUGUUGUUCCUCUGCUGCUGGGUUUGAGAGCUGAGCGAAGGAGAAGUGGAUGGCAAUCUGUGGUCCAGGAGUAUCCCCUGGAAUCAGCAAGCACUCCAAGUCAGAUUGAUUUUGCUUUUUAGUGCAACAGAUCUGUGGAGCAGCGUGCCUCCUGCUGAAAGAGAAGCACAUGUGUCAGCGCUGUGAAGGAGUUAAGAACUGUUCAGCAAUACAGGACAGCAUUGGCAGGGUUAGUCAGCUGAGGUGUGGAUUGAUACGCUCAUUUAAUGAAAGAUUUGAUCCUCUUGGCUUAAUGCAGGACAGCUUGAACAAGCUAGAAGUUCAUUCUUGGCCUUACUGUAUGGAGUAGUUCAUCUCCAGGACUCCUGUGACCUUCUCGAUGAGAUACUGACCUGAAGACUUGCCUCACUGCAUAAUGGGAAAUUAGAACAUUCUUUUAUUUCAAGAGGACUGAUUUAUUUUUUUAAAAAGCAUUUUCUUCCUAUUUUUUUCAGGAACUUGCACUGCUGUGCUGUUGGCAUUUAGUAUGAUUGGUUUUUUUUAUAAAAGUAGAGACAAGUCUGUAUCAUGACACUUGUCUCUUUUGGACUUGGCAAGUGUGUGAUAUACUGACCGAAUUACACUCUCUCUCAUACCUCUUCUCCUGCUGUCAGCACUUCUGCAUUGCAGUUUGUGGGCUAUUGCUCGAGCAAUAACCCUCUGCAAUCGCAGAGAGCUGCUGUAUUACACAAGUUGCUUCUGAAAGCUAAAUUCCAAACAAGAGCAAUGUUUCCUUCCCGUGUGCUCUCCCAUAUGCCCACUCAAUACAAACGACUUAACUGUGCAGAAGAUUAAUCUUUUCUUGGAGUUUCUCAGUUGUUCUGCUGGCGUAAAACUUGGGUAAUGUUGUGUGAAGAUUUCAAACUACUCCCUCGUGCGUUGGUUUUCCUCCAGAGGGAUGUGUAAUCUCUGUUCUCUGGGCAAGGAACUGAAGUGCAGUGAAGUUCUGAAUUGCUCCUAAUUGAUGGCAAAGACCUGUGCAACUUCACUGCCUAGCUCUUGGCAUGAAGCUCUCCAAAAGCUUCCCACUGAAACGUAGUGAGACAAAUUGUUCUGACCUAUUGCACAACAUGAGGGCCCCACAUGAGUGUGAUUCUCAAAUACCAGCAGUUCACAUGAUCUAACUCCAGUCUUGCACCACCUCAGAGUACUGAUACAGUUUGUCUGGGCGUUGGAAGCUUUUCUGUCUCGUACUUGAUGUGGCCAACUCCAUGCGAUGUGAUGAAUAACAACUUUUUCUGAAAACACUUCUCCUGCCUCAGCUCUAGCUCUGCCUUCUUUUGGUCUGGCUCUCUGAGGGCUCCUCACGCAGAAAAUCCAGAGACACAAUUGCUGCCCUGGGGGCUGUGCCUUCUGUAGGUGAGCUCUGCUUCCCAGUUAGAUGGAGUGACAUUGUCUUUGCAAAUGAAAAAGCCUCUACCUGCACGGUUAACCCAUAGCAUUCAAUUGAGAGAGGAAUAAUAAAUAAAAUUGGUAUCUGUAGGUUCACUAUGACCUAUUGGUGGAUGCUAUUUUAAAAAAUAAUCCACGUGGAUUUUCUUUUACUAAUGAUUUACUGGAUUUAAAAUUUGGUCUUUGUUCGUGUUGAGCUGUUUGUGCCUUUGCUGCAGGAGUAACACUAUGUAACUGGCUGUAGCAGUGGCUGGCCUUGUUUUGUUCAAACAGAUAUAAAACAGACACUUAAUAAACAGGGAAGAGGAGCAACAAGUUUCUUUCAUUCCUGAGUUAAUCCUAAGGAAUAACAGUUUGUAUACAGGAACUGGAACUAUUAAAGCUUGGGUGUCAUAGGCA